UGCAAUCAAGGAUGAAUAUUUAUGAUGCUGAUUUCUAUGAUUAUUUAUUUAAAUUUAUCACCAUCUUUCGGCUGAGAUUGCA